rnacentral:rRNA from 1 species
AGCGAACGCUGGCGGCAGGCCUAACACAUGCAAGUCGAACGAACCUUUCGGGGUUAGUGGCGGACGGGUGAGUAACACGUGGGAACGUGCCUUUAGGUUCGGAAUAACUCAGGGAAACUUGUGCUAAUACCGAAUGUGCCCUUCGGGGGAAGGAUUACUCGCCUUUAGAGGGGCCUUGGACUGAUUAGCUAGUUGGUUAGGGAAAUGGCUCACCAAGGCGAGGUGCAGUAGCUGUUCUGAGAGGAUGAUUAGCCACAUUGGGACUGAGACACGGCCCAAACUCCUACGGGAGGCAGCAGUGGGGAAUCUUGCGCAAUGGGCGAAAGCCUGACGCAGCCAUGCCGCGUGAAUGAUGAAGGUCUUAGGAUUGUAAAAUUCUUUCAGCGGGGACGAUAAUGACGGUACCCGGAGAAGAAGCCCCGGCUAACUUCGUG